rnacentral:rRNA from 1 species
AGCUGUGGAAGCACAUUUCUUGUGUGACCGCGUACUUUUUGUAGAACGGGCCAACGAGUUACGUUAAGUAGCAAGGUUAAGCACUUAAGGUGCGGAGCCGUAGCGAAAGCGAGUUUUAACUGAGCGUUCAGUUACUUGACGUAGACCCGAAACCGGGCGACCUACCCAUGAGCAGGAUGAAGCGAAAGUAAAAUUUCGUGGAGGUCCGAACCCACGAGCGUUGAAAAGCUCGGGGAUGACUUGUGGGUAGCGGUGAAAUUCCAAUCGAGCCCGGAGAUAGCUGGUUCUCCCCGAAAUAGCUUUAGGGCUAGCCUCAAGGUGAGAGAUACGGAGGUAGAGCACUGAAUGUCCUAGGGGGUAUUGCACCUACCGAAGACUAUCAAACUCCGAAUGCCGUCAUCUUAUACUUGGGAGUCAGACUGUGGGUGAUAAGAUUCAUAGUCGAAAGGGCAACAGCCCAGAUCGUCAGCUAAGGUCCCUAAAUGUAAGUUAAGUGGUAAAGGAUGUGGGAUUGCACAGACAACCAGGAUGUUGGCUUAGAAGCAGCCACUCAUUCAAAGAGUGCGUAAUAGCUCACUGGUCGAGUGAUCCUGCGCCGAAGAUUUCCGGGGCUAAAACUUACUACCGAAGCUACGGCAUCAGUAAUGAUGGGUAGGGGAGCUUCCCAUACGGGUUGAAGCAUGACCGUAAGGACAUGUGGACAGUAUGGGAGUGAGAAUGUUGGCAUGAGUAGCGAGAUGUGGGUGAGAAUCCCACAGGCCGUAAACCCAAGGUUUCCAGGGGAAGGUUCGUCCGCCCUGGGUUAGUCGGGACCUAAGCUGAGGCCGAAAGGCGUAGGUGAUGGACAACAGGUUGAUAUUCCUGUACUACCGAUAACCGUUUGAGAGAAGGGAUGACACAGUAGGAUAAGCUAAGCACACUGUUGGUUAUGUGUGCCCAAGCAUUGAGGCAGUCAAAGUAGGCAAAUCCGCUUUGAUAAUGCUGGGAUGUGAUGGGGAGCGAAAUUUAGUAGCGAAGUAGCUGAUUUCACACUGUCAAGAAAAGUCUCUAUCGAGGUUAAAGGUACCCGUACCGCAAACCGACACAGGUGGGUGAGGAGAGUAUCCUAAGGCCAGCGAGAGAACUGUUGUUAAGGAACUCGGCAAAAUGACCCCGUAACUUAGGGAUAAGGGGUGCCACCAUCAGGUGGCCGCAGAGAAUAGGCCCAAGCGACUGUUUACCAAAAACAUAGGUUUCUGCUAAGUCGCAAGACGAUGUAUAGGAGCUGACGCCUGCCCGGUGCUGGAAGGUUAAGGGGAUCUGUUAGAGCAAUCGAAGCAGUGAACUUAAGCCCCAGUAAACGGCGGCCGUAACUAUAACGGUCCUAAGGUAGCGAAAUUCCUUGUCGGGUAAGUUCCGACCCGCACGAAAGGCGUAACGAUUUGGGCACUGUCUCAACAACAGACUCGGUGAAAUUGUAAUUCCGGUGAAGAUGCCGGAUACCUGCGACAGGACGGAAAGACCCCAUGGAGCUUUACUGUAGCUUGACAUUGGGUCUUGGUACUACAUGUACAGGAUAGGUGGGAGGCUUUGAAACCAGGACGCCAGUUUUGGCGGAGCCAUCCUUGGGAUACCACCCUUGUAGUACUGGGACUCUAACCAUAGGCCAUGAAUCUGGUCUUGGGACACUGUCAGGUGGGCAGUUUGACUGGGGCGGUCGCCUCCCAAAAGGUAACGGAGGCGCUCAAAGGUUCUCUCAGUACGGUCGGAAAUCGUACGUAGAGUGUAAAGGCAAAAGAGAGCUUGAUUGCAAGACAUACAGGUCGAGCAAGGAUGAAAAUCGGACUUAGUGAUCCGGUGGUUCUGCGUGGAAGGGCCAUCGCUCAACGGAUAAAAGCUACCCUGGGGAUAACAGGCUUAUCUCCCCCAAGAGUCCACAUCGACGGGGAGGUUUGGCACCUCGAUGUCGGCUCAUCACAUCCUGGGGCUGUAGUAGGUCCCAAGGGUUGGGCUGUUCGCCCAUUAAAGUGGUACGCGAGCUGGGUUCAGAACGUCGUGAGACAGUUCGGUCCCUAUCCGUCGCAGGCGUAGGAAAUUUGAGAAGACCUGUCCUUAGUACGAGAGGACCGGGAUGGACGUACCUCUGGUGUACCAGUUGUCCUGCCAAGGGCAUGGCUGGGUAGCUAUGUACGGAAUGGAUAAGCGCUGAAAGCAUCUAAGCGCGAAGCCAACUUCAAGAUAAGAUUUCCCACCGCAAGGGUAAGACCCCAGAAAGACUAUCUGGUUGA